AGCGAACGCUGGCGGCAGGCCUAACACAUGCAAGUCGAACGAACCUUUCGGGGUUAGUGGCGGACGGGUGAGUAACACGUGGGAACGUGCCUUUAGGUUCGGAAUAACUCAGGGAAACUUGUGCUAAUAACGAAUGUGCCCUUCGGGGGAAAGAUUUAUCGCCUUUAGAGCGGCCCGCGUCUGAUUAGCUAGUUGGUUGAGGUAAUGGCUCACCAAGGCGACGAUCAGUAGCUGGUCUGAGAGGAUGAUCAGCCACAUUGGGACUGAGACACGGCCCAAACUCCUACGGGAGGCAGCAGUGGGGAAUCUUGCGCAAUGGGCGAAAGCCUGACGCAGCCAUGCCGCGUGAAUGAUGAAGGUCUUAGGAUUGUAAAAUUCUUUCACCGGGGACGAUAAUGACGGUACCCGGAGAAGAAGCCCCGGCUAACUUCGUG
rnacentral:rRNA from 1 species